rnacentral:rRNA from 1 species
CCUACGGGUGGCUGCAGUGGGGAAUAUUGGGCAAUGGGCGCGAGCCUGAAGCAGCCACGUAGCGUGAAGGAUGACUGCCCUCCGAGUGGUAAACUUCUUUUAUAGAGGAAUAAAGUGAGGCACGUGUGCCUUUUUGUAUGUACUUUAUGAAUAAGGAUCGGCUAACUCCGUUCCGGCCGCCGCGGUAAUACGGAGGGUCCGAGCGUUAUCCGGAUGUAUUGGGUUUAAAGGGAGCGUAGAUGGGUUGUUAAGUCAGGUGUGAAAGCUUGCGGCUCAACCGUAAAAUUGCAAUUGAUACUGGCAGUCUUGAGGACAGUGGAGGUAGGUGGAAUUCGUGGUGUAGGGGUGAAAUGCUUAGAUAUCACGAAGAACGCAGAUGGCGAAGGCAGCUGACUAAACCGCCACUGACAGUGAUGCUCGAAAGUGUGGGUAUCAAACAGGAUUAGAUACCCGUGUAGUC